GAUGAAUGCUGGCGGCGCGCCUAACACAUGCAAGUCGAGCGGAAAGGCCCUUCGGGGUACUCGAGCGGCGGACGGCUGAGUAACGCGUGGGAACAUGCCCCAAAGUGAGGAAUAACUGCCCGAAAGGGUAGCUAAUGCCGCAUAUGAUCUUCGGAUUAAAGGAUUUAUCCGCUUUGGGAGUGGCCCGCGUACGAUUAGGUAGUUGGUGAGGUAAAGGCUCACCAAGCCUACGAUCGUUAACUGGUCUGAGAGGAUGAUCAGUCAGACUGGAACUGAGACACGGUCCAGACUCCUACGGGAGGCAGCAGUGAGGAAUCUUCCACAAUGGGCGAAAGCCUGAUGGAGCGACGCCGCGUGCAGGAUGAAGGCCUUCGGGUUGUAAACUGCUUUUAUAAGUGAAGAAUAUGACGGUAACUUAUGAAUAAGCACCGGCUAACUACGUGCCAGCCGCCGCAGUAA
rnacentral:rRNA from 1 species